GAACGUUGUAGCUCAGUUGGUAGAGCAUCGCCAGUAUAGCCACCAUGGCUUGCGGCGAACGGACGGCGGUUCGAUUCCGCCCAUCGUUCC
rnacentral:tRNA from 1 species